CGCCCCUCCUCGGGCCUAUUACUUUGACUAAAUGUGAGCGCUCGAUGCAGGCCCUUGGGGCCUUGAAACCCGCAGCAAAGAAUAACGGAACAGGGGCUCCCUGCUUCCCUCUGGUCAGUGACGGGCCAAUGAUUUAUUGGGGGGAUCGGGGUGGGCCACAUGGCGGGGGUAGGGGUGAAAUCCGUUGAUCCUCGCCAGGUGAACUAGAGCGAAAGCAGCCCACAAGUACCCUUUCUUAGAUCAAGAACGAAAGUCUGGGGAUCGAAGAUGAUCAGAUACCAUCGUAGUCCAGACCCUAAAUGAUGCCGGCCAUGGAUGGGCGCUAGUCCAUCCCGACCCUGCCCGGACCUUGUGAGAAAUCAUAAGCGUUUGGGCUCCGGGGGGAGUAUGGUCGCAAGACUGAAACUUAAAGGAAUUGACGGAAGAGCACACAAGGAGUGGAGCCUGCGGCU
rnacentral:rRNA from 1 species